rnacentral:rRNA from 1 species
UACGAAGGGGGCUAGCGUUGUUCGGAAUCACUGGGCGUAAAGGGCGCGUAGGCGGCCUGUUAAGUCGAACGUGAAAUCCCCGGGCUCAACCCGGGAACUGCGUCCGAUACUGGCAGGCUUGAAUUCGGGAGAGGGAUGCGGAAUUCCAGGUGUAGCGGUGAAAUGCGUAGAUAUCUGGAGGAACACCGGUGGCGAAGGCGGCAUCCUGGACCGACAUUGACGCUGAUGCGCGAAAGCCAGGGGAGCAAACGGG